rnacentral:rRNA from 1 species
ACGAACGCUGGCGGCAUGCCUAACACAUGCAAGUCGAACGAGACCUUCGGGUCUAGUGGCGCACGGGUGCGUAACGCGUGGGAACCUGCCCUUAGGUUCGGAAUAACUCCCCGAAAGGGGUGCUAAUACCGGAUAAUGUCUUCGGACCAAAGAUUUAUCGCCUUUGGAUGGGCCCGCGUUGGAUUAGCUAGUUGGUAGGGUAAAAGCCUACCAAGGCGACGAUCCAUAGCUGGUCUGAGAGGAUGAUCAGCCACACUGGGACUGAGACACGGCCCAGACUCCUACGGGAGGCAGCAGUGGGGAAUAUUGGACAAUGGGCGAAAGCAUGAUGCAGCAAUGCCGCGUGAGUGAUGAAGGCCUUAGGGUUGUAAAGCUCUUUUACCCGGGAUGAUAAUGACAGUACCGGGAGAAUAAGCUCCGGCUAACUCCGUG